rnacentral:tRNA from 1 species
CCGGGCGUGGCGCAGCUUGGCAGAGCGGUCCGAUGGCCAUCGGACAUGUCGCAGGUCCGACGUUCCGGCCUCGUGCCGGAAAGUCGGACUCCGACUUCGCGAACGAACGUCGGAGUUCAAAUCCUGUCGCCCGGA